GGGCCCGUAACUCAAUGGUAGAGUAGCAGCCUUUUAAGCUGAAAGUUGUAGGUUCGAGUCCUACCGGGCUCA
rnacentral:tRNA from 1 species